AUGGAGACUACUGGAGACAGCCAGGCCAGGAGAGAAAAGCAUAAUCCAAUUUCAUCGCCAUUACCUAAAUACGGAUCUGCAGGCUCGGCCCUCAGGGUCCACGCUGUGCCCUUGGGGCCGAGACAGGAGCUGCUGGGCUCCCUGCUGGCAUUCGUGGAGGAGAGAAACCUCAAAGCGGCGUUCAUCAUCACCUGCAUGGGCAGGUGGCAGAGUGUUGACUGGCAGCCAUCCGUCAUGCCUCUGGAUCCAUGUGCUUGGUGAUGAAGAGAUGGACGAUGGUAUGAAAGAGAUGGACGAUCACACAGGCUUCCCUGAGCUGCUCACCAAACCCCACUCCAAAAAAAGACUAGAAGAAGAAGAUUAGAAGAUGACUUUACGGUCAAGGAUGUCCAACUAGUAGUUUGAUACAGACAUAUUGUUACAUUUAAGAGAAUAGAUGAGAUUUAAUUAUUUCAGUUUGACUGCAAUGGCAGUGAAUAAGUAGAUCACCUCCAUUAGACUGGAAACUCUCCUUCCAGACUCACAUUAAGCAUCGCCAUUCCAAAAUUAAAUCUAGAAUCGGCUUCCUAUAUUGCAACAAAGCAUCCUUCCCUCAUGCUGCCAAACAUACCCUCGUAAAACUGACCAUCCUACCGAUCCUCGACUUCGGUGAUGUCAUCUAUAAAAUAGCCUCCAACACUCUACUCAACUGGAUGCAGUCUAUCACAGUGCCAUCCGUUUUGUCACCAAAGCCCCAUACACUACCCACCAUUGCGACCUGUAUGCCCUUGUUGGUUGGCCCUCGCUUCAUACUCGUCGCCAAACCCACUGGCUCCAGGUUAUCUACAAGUCUCUGCUAGGUAAAGCCCCGCCUUAUCUCAGCUCACUGGUCACCAUAGCAGCACCCACUCGUAGCACGCACUCCAGCAGGUAUAUCUCACUGUUUACCCCCAAAGCCAAUUCCUCCUUUGGCCGUCUUUCUUUCCAGUUCUCUGCUGCCCAUGACUGGAACGAAUUGCAAAAAUCUCUGAAGCUGGAGACUCAUAUCUCCCUCACUAGCUUUAAGCACCAGCUGUCAGAGCAUCUCACAGAUCACUGCACCUGUACAUAGCCCAUCCAACUAUCCAUUCUCCAUACUGUAUUUAUUUAUUUAUCUUGCUCCUUUGCACCCCAGUAUCUCUACUUGCACAUUCAUCUUCUGCACAUCUACCAUUCCAGUGUUUAAUUGCUAUAUUGUAAUUACUUCACCACCAUGGCCUAUUUAUUGCCUUACCUCCCUUAUCCUUCCUCAUUUACACAUACUGUAUAUAGACUUUUUCUUCUGUAUUAUUGACUGUAUGUUUGUUUAUUCCAUGUGUAACUCUGUGUUGUUGUAUGUGUCGAACUGCUUUGCUUUAUCUUGGCCAGGUCGCAGUUGUAAAUAAUAACUUGUUCUCAACUAGCCUACCUGGUUAAAUAAAGGUGUUCUCAACUAGCCUACCUGGUUAAAUAAAGGUGUUCUCAACUAGCCUACCUGGUUAAAUAAAGGUGAAAUAAAACAAAAUAACAUGUAGACAUUGGGUUUGGCCUUUUGUCAAUGGGAGGUGGUGAAAAGGAUAAGACAACACAGCCAUUUCACAGUAAUUAAAUAGAUAUUAUUUUCUUCCACCUCCCCUCCGCUAAUGUGAACCGACGCCCCCCAAAUACUGCCUCCAUAGAGGGCCUUUGUACGGUAACACUUUCUAUGGAGCAGAUGACUAAUGAUGUAACACUGAACAGCUGUGGGAGAAACCGUUUCCAACAGAAACCCUCCCACCCCUGAGCGCUCAGUCACUCUGACCAAUAGGUGGGGCCUGCUAAUGAAUGUUUAACUAAAGCCCGCCUUUUGAAUGGCUCUGACCCACUGGUUGCUGAGACACAAUGUGAGAACUCCCCCAGGAUUAGCAAUGACCUCCACACAGCCACAGCCGUCCAGCUGAAGAAAGGAAGCUAGCACAGGGCUGUCUGAGGGCUGUAUAUAUGGCUGUAUGUGGGAGGGGAUGGGGAGUGGUGACAACCUUUUGAUGGAGCAGAGUUCAUAUAGAUCUAUGUGCUUUAAUUGGGCACCAUGUAGGGUCUGAUAGAGGACAAACCAUAUAGGGGCUGCUGUCUUCUAUAGUGUGUGUGUGUGUGUGUGUGUGUGUGUGUGUGUGUGUGUGUGUGUGUGUGUGUGUGUGUGUGUGUGAGAGAGAGAGAUGUGGUUUCCAGUCUGUUUUAUGCAGAAUAAGCGCUUUCUCUUUGUCCUUCUUUGCGUUUGUGUGUGUGGCAUUGAAGUUGUACCUGUAUUUGUUGUAAGUGCUUACUGAUUGAGUGCUACAUUAAGUUGUUCAGAGAUCAGAGAGUUUAUGAUGACUCAAAUAGGAGCUAGCCACUGCAUUCCUAACUGAGCACUUCACCGCAUUAUAACAAAUAGCCGCUUCUAGAGUUUCCUGAAGGUUUUCACAUCAAAUGCAACUAGGGCUGUGGCAAUAACAACAUUUUGUCAGCCGGUGCUUGUCACCAAAUAACCGUCGUCUUACGGUCUCAUCUCCUGGUUUCCACACAAGCCACUGAUGUUGUCACACAGCUAGGAGUGGUGGGUGCGGAGUCAGGCGCAGAGGGUUCAUAGAAAACCAACUUUAUUUCGGUAAAUGGGUAAGUGGUCAACACAACAGGCGAACAAAAUAUGACCGACCCAAAACGGGACACCAAAAAGGUCAGAGAACAUACCACACAUCCAUCCACAGACAAACAGAAAACAAGCCCGCACAAAAGCAGGCGGGCCUAACCGGCUUAAAUAGCCCUAAAACAAAUCUCAAACAAGGAACAGGUGAAUUCAAUACAGACAUAACAAACAGAAAUGGAAAAAGGGAUCGGUGGCAGCUAGUAGACCGGUGACGACGACCACCGAGUGCCGCCCGAACAGGCAUGGGAGCCGGAAGUCGUGACAGAUGCAGACCUUUGGAACAUCUUAAACAUUUGAAAAAGUCUAAUAAAAUCCAUGUAAUAGAGCCGACACCUUCACAAUAUAUCCAGUAUUUAGUUUAGACCGGUCUAAAGAAGGAUGAUAUGAAGAAAACGUAGUCUAUUUCAGAAGAACAGAAUAGCAUACUCUUGAGUUUUCCUCAUUUUAGGUCCUGAUCUGGCUAUGCCAAAUGGCUGUAGGCUACACUAGUUCAUUUAGCAAACAAGAUUUGCUUAGAAUUCCGUGGAAGUGUUUUAUAUUAUCUUAUAGUAUAAAGAAUACAAUUGAACAUAGCUGAAUAAAAUAUAAAUAUUUUCUCCAAACGAUUUGAGGGAGUGCGCACAUUCGGCUAUUCUGUGUUGAGGUGUUUAACAAUGAAAUAGGAACUCCUAUAUGCUUAAUUUAGAGUUAUUCAUGUAACUUCAGUUGUUCUACAAACGUUGGGCUAUAUGUUUUUAUUUUUAAUACAUUGAAAGGCUGCAUGAUGCGACUCGUCGCUUGAAAAAGUCACUUGAAAGGCAUAAGCUCUGCUUUGUGUUUUUUGGCGCAGGCUGUACACACGUCAUCAGUCUUUCAUUCACAAUUUGACCAUCCCUUGAUAAUGUCUCAAAUUUCACGGCAGCAUCCCCUUUGUGGCCGUAAUGCACCCUAAAAAAAUCCAUGCUUUUUGUGGGCAGUGACGAUGUGCCCUUCUCCUUGAGUGCUGCGCACUCCGAAGCACCUCUCACUCACAUGGGUCUCCAUCACAUGAUAUGGCCUUUCUCACAGGCUACAAUAUUUCUUCACAUUAUAAGCGCAGCAAUGUGCACAUAGUAGGCUUUAAGUGCAAAUGUUCCAUUAGCGGGAAAACUCCAUAAUCAAAAGUGUCCUCAAAUGCAAUUAUGCAUGAGAAACAAGUGAGCUUCUUACGAGUGAGCAGGUAGGGAAGUUCCUCUCAGGACCCCCAAUGCUAAAAGCCCAUCAGACUCCAGUAGGGUUCUUCAUAACCAGACCUCCACAUCAGAAGAUAUCCUCCUUGCAAUCUCCAAAAUACAACAGCCACAGGACAACUUUGUUUGGACAUCCUAAGUCUCUCUUUAUGUAGUGUUGUGGUGUCUCUCUUGUUGUAAUGUGUGUUUUGUCCAAUAUUUAUAUUUGCAAUCCCAGCCAACGUCCCCGCAGGAGACCUUUUGCCUUUUGGUAGUCCGUCAUUGUAAAUAAGAAUUUGUUCUUAACUGAUUUGCCUAGUAAAAUAAAGGUUAAUAAAAAAAUUCUAAAUAAAUGUGUGAAAUUUGUUAUGAUUUAGAAUGGACCAUUAUCAUGCACGUCUCGAAACAGUGGCAGCAGGAGAAAAUAUAUGUCAUCUAUGCACUUAAAUAGCGAAUGGAGGACGCUUUUCGUAGUUCGUUUUCAUGCCAGCCAGGUAGGCUAUACUCCUGUUGUAAAGAUAAGCAAUGUGUUUAAUA
rnacentral:lncRNA from 13 species